AGUCGAACGCCCCGCUCUGAAUUGAGUUUACUCGAUUCAGAUUCAGCGGGGAGUGGCGAACGGGUGAGUAACACGUGGGUAGUCUACCUCGAAGACUGGGAUAACCCGGGGAAACUCGGGCUAAUACCGGAUGAUAUAACCAAAAGGCAUCUUUUGGUUAUCAAAGUUGGGAAACCUUCACUUCGGGAUGAGCCCGCGGCCCAUUAGCUAGUUGGUGAGGUAAUGGCUCACCAAGGCAACGAUGGGUAGCCGGCCUGAGAGGGUGUACGGCCACACUGGGACUGAGACACGGCCCAGACUCCUACGGGAGGCAGCAGUGGGGAAUAUUCCGCAAUGGGCGCAAGCCUGACGGAGCAACGCCGCGUGGAGGAUGAAGGUCUUCGGGUUGUAAACUUCUGUCGGGAGGGACGAAGCCCCGCCUUUGGCGGGAUGACGGUACCUUCGAAGGAAGCCCCGGCUAACUACGUGCCAGCAGCCGCGGUAAUACGUAGGGGGCAAGCGUUGUCCGGAAUUAUUGGGCGUAAAGAGCACGUAGGUGGCCAGUCAAGUCAGGUGUGAAAUCCUUGGGCUCAACCCGAGAACUGCACUUGAAACUGAUUGGCUUGAGUUCAGAAGAGGAGAGCGGAAUUCCUAGUGUAGCGGUGAAAUGCGCAGAUAUUAGGAGGAACACCAGUGGCGAAGGCGGCUCUCUGGUCUGUAACUGACACUGAGGUGCGAAAGCU
rnacentral:rRNA from 1 species